rnacentral:ncRNA from 1 species
GAGAAAUCUUUUUUGGCCAGAAUGUAGGAGAGAACCUUCUGCUCAAAAUCAUCAAAAUGCGGGAAACCCCUAAAGUAAUUUCAACCAAGCAAUAGCGGUGACGGAUAUUGUGGCAUAGGUAAUGACUCAUGGUAUGGUAAAAUCGAAAUUAAUGUACGAAAGGAAAUGGGCAAUCCGCAGCCAAGCACAAACUUAGUUUAGUGUGCAGUUCAUCGACUAAAAGUUGAUUAGCGCAAGCUUAAGAUAUAGUCAAACCUCACCUGAAAGGGUGCA